UUUGUUCUGUAUGAUGCCUCAGUGCCAACAAGCACUCCUUGAAUGGUGCAAUCAGGCAAAGCUCUGCUGAUUUCAUGCAAAACAUGUUGAUUCUCACCACUGGAAUGGCUCUGGUGAAUAACAAUGGUGUGGAUGGCAUGAAUGCAUUCUGAGAACAGAAGGUGUGAUUGUAACUAAAUUGGAGCAGUUAAAUAGGGAGCAUCUCACAAAGAUUGUGCACUGGCUAAAUGGACCUGCCAUGACAAAUGGCACACAAGUGUCACUGCAGGAAUGAGUGACUUCCCAGCUAGGAAGACAUCUGAAGAAUAACCUAUGACUGAAGCUGGGAAAUUUUGGUUGUAUGAGAGUGUUCUUGCAGGAAGACUACCUCCUGCUGUGAUACAAAUGUGUGGAUCAUACAGAACCAUUGAGUUUUUGACAGAUCCCUGGAACAGAAGGUCUCUUCCUUCAGUGUAAAGGAUAGGCCUUUUGCCCUGAUUUGUGUUUGAAUUCUGCUGCCCAUCCGGUUCCUCUCUGCUCUCACCCUUGUCCCUCCUUGGAUCAUCUCCAGUUUCAAUUUGAAAUCUCUGU